GCGCCCGUAGUUCAGUGGUGGAACGCGUUCCUGAUAAGAACGAGGCCCUUGGUUCGAUUCCAAGCGGGCGCACCA
rnacentral:tRNA from 2 species